rnacentral:lncRNA from 1 species
UAGGAAACAGAAAUUUUCCCUGGCUAUUUUCUACCCACAGCUGUGCAUGAUCAACAGAUGUUAGCCCUUUCUGAGCAGAAAAGAAUCAAACACUGGAAGAUGGCAUCUAAACUCAUCCUGCCUGAGUCCCUGGUGAGCUGUUAUUUCUGGCUUUUUUCAGGUGACUUGACUGUGGCCUUGCCUCUGCUUGUCCCUAUUGCCUAGGACUCAUAGUGUCCAGCAGGUGCUUUGAGGCAUUUUAGCCCCAGUUAUUCUCUAGGCAACUAGGCUUGGCACAGUGGGAACUGGGCACCUCCCAGGUGAUUUACUGAUCCUCUUUGCUCCUUCCUUUCUGCCUUCUCACUUUUUUCCCCUAAAUCUUGUACUGUUCACAUCUUCAGCACCUGGCCUACCAUGUAAUUCAGAAAUGGGUGGUAGGACAGCUUCUGAAGUGGCAAGUACUAAACUAUAGCCCAUUCUCUUCUUUAGAGUUUGUUGACAUUUGAAGAUGUGGCUGUGUAUUUUUCUGAGGAAGAGUGGCAAUUAUUGAAUCCUCUUGAGAAGACUCUCUACAAUGAUGUAAUGCAGGAUAUCUAUGAGACUGUCAUCUCUCUAGGGUUAAAGCUAAAAAAUGACACUGGAAAUGAUCAUCCUAUAUCUGUUUCUACAUCAGAAAUACAAACAUCAGGAUGCGAAGUAUCAAAAAAGACCAGAAUGAAAAUUGCCCAGAAAACAAUGGGCAGGGAAAAUCCUGGUGAUACACACAGUGUACAGAAAUGGCAUCGAGCUUUUCCAAGGAAGAAAAGAAAGAAACCUGCAACUUGUAAACAAGAGCUUCCAAAACUUAUGGAUCUUCAUGGGAAAGGCCCCACAGGGGAGAAACCUUUUAAGUGUCAGGAAUGUGGGAAAAGCUUCAGAGUUAGCUCUGAUCUUAUUAAACACCACAGAAUUCACACUGGAGAGAAACCCUAUAAAUGUCAACAAUGUGACAGGAGGUUUAGAUGGAGUUCAGAUCUUAAUAAGCACUUCAUGACCCAUCAAGGAAUAAAACCAUAUAGAUGCUCAUGGUGUGGGAAAAGCUUUAGUCAUAACACAAAUCUACACACACACCAAAGAAUUCACACAGGAGAGAAGCCCUUUAAAUGUGAUGAAUGUGGAAAAAGAUUCAUUCAGAACUCCCACCUUAUUAAACACCAGAGAACUCACACAGGUGAGCAGCCUUAUACGUGUAGCUUAUGCAAGAGAAACUUUAGUAGGCGAUCGAGCCUUCUUAGACACCAGAAACUCCACAGAAGAAGGGAAGCAUGUCUAGUGUCUCCAAACUGAGGAAAGUUACCAUGUAGAGCUUGACUUUAGAAGUGGUGAAAGAAUACAAAAUUAUGAGGCACCCAAUGAUAGGAAUCUGUGAUUAAUAAAACAUUUGGGAAGGGUACAUGUUACACUUCACAAAAAGGAAUCUAAGCUGUCUGUUUUAUUCAGCAUUGCAUCUUCUGUGCCUAGCACAAGAGUUGAUACAUAAGGAGUACUUUAUAAAUAAAAAAAUGAAAGUGUAGUGAUGAGAUUCCUUUAGCUAUCUAUCUAUA